GGCGAACGCUGGCGGCGUGCUUAACACAUGCAAGUCGAACGGAAAGGCCCUGCUUUUGUGGGGUGCUCGAGUGGCGAACGGGUGAGUAACACGUGAGUAACCUGCCCUUGACUUUGGGAUAACUUCAGGAAACUGGGGCUAAUACCGGAUAGGAGCUCCUGCUGCAUGGUGGGGGUUGGAAAUUUUCGGCGGUUGGGGAUGGACUCGCGGCUUAUCAGCUUGUUGGUGGGGUAGUGGCUUACCAAGGCUUUGACGGGUAGCCGGCCUGAGAGGGUGACCGGCCACAUUGGGACUGAGAUACGGCCCAGACUCCUACGGGAGGCAGCAGUGGGGAAUAUUGCACAAUGGGCGGAAGCCUGAUGCAGCAACGCCGCGUGCGGGAUGACGGCCUUCGGGUUGUAAACCGCUUUCGCCUGUGACGAAGCGUGAGUGACGGUAAUGGGUAAAGAAGCACCGGCUAACUACGUG
rnacentral:rRNA from 1 species